AGGAAAUUACAGUUACUUUAACUGCCUUGGUCCAAGUUUCAUAGAAGUCUGAUGAGUUAGUGACUGAAGGUAAGAAUAACCCCAUUGUCUCACUUACAAGUCAAGAAUAUUAAAGCCAAAGUGCAAACAAAACACCAAAAUCCAAAUAAUGUCCAUUCCACUGCACCAUAAUUUUUAAAAAAAGCGUCCUUAUACUUUAGAUAACAAACUGCUGGAGCAUUGAAUAGAAUGAUUGAAGUGAAUGAUAUUAGCAGUUUUAUCAACAAAGGGGAAGAAUUAUCUGUCGUCCCAGAAGAAUGGUUUUCUCUAUGUGUGUUAGGAGGAUUAUUUACAAGUGCGUGAUCUGUUUAAAUUAAUAUGAUUGAAAUACUUUAGUAAAGAAAGAGCAUGUAUCAAAUUGUGUGCAUUGCAUGGCCGACUGUAAACAAUGACCAAAGCAUGCAAUUUGACAAGAUGGCAAGUUUCAACUUUCCAUUGAGUAAUUCCUUUCUUAUUAUUUACAAUUCUUACCUGAAUAUGGAGGUAAUGCGCCCUCUUCCUCCGAAUCAUAUUCUGGGAGUGGUCCUUUUUCCAAAUCGAUUUCAUGAUCUGUCUUCAAUUCAUCUUCUUCAUCUAGAGGACUUUUCAAAGAAGUGUAAUUAUUCUUCAUUUCAUCAAGAUCAUUCUUUAUUUAAUAAAACACAUGCGCGAAUUAAUUGCUAUGAUUGCGACAAACGAAACAGCAAAAUCAAGAAUAUUCGCUCUGUAGUCCAAUUCCAACCACUUCAAAGA
rnacentral:lncRNA from 1 species